UAUUCUGCCCCAUGGAGAAGGAUGAGAAGCUUCGACUAAGGUUCGACUCGAGCGAAGCGAGAGAACGUUGCCGCAGGCAACGGCCCGAAGGGCGAGGCGCUUUAGCGCCGAGUAAUCCUUCCCCCACCACCA
rnacentral:sRNA from 2 species